rnacentral:rRNA from 1 species
UACGUAGGGUGCAAGCGUUGUCCGGAAUUAUUGGGCGUAAAGAGCUCGUAGGCGGUUUGUCGCGUCUGCUGUGAAAACCCGAGGCUCAACCUCGGGCCUGCAGUGGGUACGGGCAGACUAGAGUCCGGGAGGGGCGAGUGGAAUUCCUGGUGUAGCGGUGAAAUGCGCAGAUAUCAGGAGGAACACCAAUGGCGAAGGCAGGUCUCUGGGCCACUACUGACGCUGAGAAGCGAAAGCAUGGGGAGCGAACAGG